rnacentral:rRNA from 1 species
UACGAAGGGGGCUAGCGUUGUUCGGAAUUACUGGGCGUAAAGCGCACGUAGGCGGAAUGUUAAGUCAGGGGGUGAAAUCCCGGGGCUCAACCCCCGGAACUGGCCUUUGAUACUGGCAUUCUCGAGUCCGGAAGAGGUGAGUGGGAAUUCCGAGUGUAGAGGUGAAAUUCGUAGAUAUUCGGAGGAACACCAGUGGCGAAGGGCGGCUCACUGGUCCGGUACUGACGCUGAGGUGCGAAAAGCGUGGGGGAGCAAACAGGG